GGUGUUACAGUGUUUCCAGUAGAAUCAAUCCUAUUUUUUUAUUCCCCUAGGAAAUCACAAAUUGACGCAAAUAGCAAAAGUAGUCACCAAAAUCUGUGAACACAAGAUGAAUGAAAUUGAAGUAUGUCCAGAAUGUUAUCUAGCUGCUUGCCAAAAAUGAAAUAAGUGGUUUUGCGAGCCUUGUGUAAGUUGGAUUUACUUUCUUUAUUUCAUUUUCUGAACUCUGUCUUUGAUGAAAGCCUUCUCCAGGGGGCUUAGGAGACGA
rnacentral:lncRNA from 1 species